GCGAACCCGCUCGCCAAGGAUCUCAUCCAUUUCCCCUGCCUUCCACUCUCCGCUUGCCGCGCCACCCGCCGGCUCCGUCUGCUCAGCCGCAAGCGUCAUCCCCCCUCGCCUCCCUUCGCCGGCGACCUCGUCUGGGCUCAAGUAGUCUGCCCAAGCCGCCAGCGUCGUUCCCUUUCGCCUUUGCUACUCGCGCCUCCCUUCGCUAGCGACCUCGUCCGAGUUCAAGUAGUCUGCGCACCGAGGGUAUGGAGCAGGGGUCAAACAGCGCGUUCUGGGCCACCUCCGCGUCGAGCCGCAGCGCCUCGUCGGCGUUGGCUACGGCGUGUGGCAGAGAGUGCGAGGAGGAUACUGAAGUCCAUGCCGACUUCGAUUCGGCCAUUGCCGCGACCUGAUGGGCUCAAAACGCGGCUGCUGGUUGCACUGCUACAGCAAGAUUUGCCACCGCCGCCAGUUCCAAGCGAGCACGUACCUCUCCCCAUCCACUGCCUCAAGGAAGAAGGGCCCUCCGUCUAAUCUGAAGUUCUGGACUACCAUCGCCGGUUUAGCUGCGCCCAUCCGCACAACCAGCAGGAUAUAUUAGCGAGAUCCCAAAUAUCAGAAAUCAACAAGUCAACCAGACACAAGGAGAGAAAAAGGAAAAUAAAGGUAAGAACUCAUUUCCUUUUUAAUACUUAUUUCAAGUACACAUACAUCUGAAUGACUUAAUGCUACUUACAUGUUUUGCUUUCCUCCAAAAGGGAAAGGCUUACUGAAAUUAGCAGUAGCAGUGCGUCUUGCAAUCACAAGGGCGAUAGUAAAAAAUCCCCAAAUCUUGCUACUUGAUUGUAUAUCCAGGCCAAUCUACAGCUUCCAUCAGCAAAACUUCCGGAAGAAAUUGAUGAUCAUAUUACACGUUCACGUAACAA